UGAGGAAUAUUGGUCAAUGGGUGCAAGCCUGAACCAGCCAUCCCGCGUGAAGGACGACUGCCCUAUGGGUUGUAAACUUCUUUUGUAUAGGGAUAAACCUACCCUCGUGAGGGUAGCUGAAGGUACUAUACGAAUAAGCACCGGCUAACUCCGUGCCAGCAGCCGCGGUAAUACGGGAGGGUGCAAGCGUUAUCCGGAUUUAUUGGGUUUAAAGGGUCCGUAGGCGGACUUAUAAGUCAGUGGUGAAAGCCUGUCGCUUAACGAUAGAACUGCCAUUGAUACUGUAAGUCUUGAGUAUAUUUGAGGUAGCUGGAAUAAGUAGUGUAGCGGUGAAAUGCAUAGAUAUUACUUAGAACACCAAUUGCGAAGGCAGGUUACCAAGAUAUAACUGACGCUGAGGGACGAAAGCGUGGGGAGCGAACAGGAUUAGAUACCCUGGUAGUCCACGCCGUAAACGAUGCUAACUCGUUUUUGGGGCUUCGGCUUCAGAGACCAAGCGAAAGUGAUAAGUUAGCCACCUUGGGGAGUACGCUCGCAAGAGUGAAACUUAAAGGAAUUG
rnacentral:rRNA from 1 species